rnacentral:lncRNA from 1 species
GAGAAACCAUUUCUUAGAGAGGAAACCAAGUCCUCACGCGCACCGAUGGACUAAGAAACUAGCGAAUCUGCAUUGGGGAGAUCCAAGUAGUUUCUUCUUAUUUACUGUCGGAUCCUUUGCGUUUGCACUGCUGCUACCCAUCACUCGAUCUCCUUUACAUGAUGCACACAGGAUCCGGUACUAGAAGGGAGAAUGAUUGGUUGGAUUUUUAUUUAGAUUCUAGAUAAAAAAGUUGCAUUGUGAAGGAUAAUUGCUUGAUACAAUAUCCUAAACUAUGGAAACUAAAUUGGUUUCUCCCAUUGGGAGUGCCCUCGCUCUCAGCCGCGCCUCACGUC